UACGUAGGGGGCAAGCGUUGUCCGGAAUCAUUGGGCGUAAAGAGCGUGUAGGCGGUCCGGUAAGUCGGUUGUGAAAGUCCAGGGCUCAACCCUGGGAUGCCGAUCGAUACUGUCGGACUAGAGUUCGGAAGAGGCGAGUGGAAUUCCCGGUGUAGCGGUGAAAUGCGCAGAUAUCAGGAGGAACACCAAUUGCGAAGGCAGCUCGCUGGGACGUAACUGACGCUGAGGUGCGAAAGCGUGGGGAGCAAACAGG
rnacentral:rRNA from 1 species